CCUGUCCAGGAUAGGGGUGUCCGUUGGUGCUAAAUGCCAGUGGGCACUGUGCCAUCUUGUCCUGGGCCCUGCUCAUCCCAGCCACCCCCUUCCCCAGCUCACCAGGCCUGAGAGGAGGGAGAGAGAAAGGGGAGGGAAGGGGGUGUUUUUCUCAGGCCUGGGGCCCCUAGCUCUUUGUGCGGCUCCUUUUGCAUCUCAAAGCAUCAGCCGAAUUCCUAGCGAGGAUUGGGUUGCCAUGACGAUGAACACAAUGGGCUGGGGGGUGAAGUCACCCGCUUCCCAGGCUCUAGUCCACCCCCUUUAUCCCUUGCCCUGGCACCCCACAGCCCCAGGCACCUUAAAGGAGAACCAACCCAAUGCCCUGGACCAGGCUCUUGCCCCUAGAAAGUCCAGCUUCUGAGCAGACCCACUUCCCCUCCCUGCCCAAGUCACCCCCAACUAACUAGGGACCCUCAAGGGAAGCAAAUUCAAAGUUGUAGACCAAGUACUAAACUGAGAGGCCUGUGAGAUCUUAGCCUUGGUUUGUCACUCGUAAAUGUUGAUGAUCCCUUUUAGGUCAGAUGCUGAUGAAGCAGGUUCUGGGCAGUACCACCUCACAGAUUGGAAACAUGGGCCCUCUACAGAUGGGCCUGGGAUUAGGAGGCUCGCGGGAACUGGAAAGGGCAGCUAGCUCAAUGCCCAUGUUUUACAGAGUCGAAGUACAGCACAGAGGAGGCUUGACUGUGCCCAACACUACCCACAGGUUAUCUUGCCUUAAUGAGAAGGGAGGUGGAGGGAAGUGGCCUACUCUCCUACUUCCAAGAAGUGGAACAGAGACAAGAUCUCCCUAAAUUGCCCAGGCUUGGCUUCAAUUUGUGAUCCUCCUGCCUCAGCUUCCCAGAGUACUGGGAUUACAGGUGUGCACCAUCACACCCAACUCCCACUAUCUCUUUUUUUGUUUUGUUUUGUUUUUAGAGGGUUUCACUGUGCAGGUCAGACAGGUCUUGAACUCAUUUUGUAGCCCAGGCUGGCCUUGAACUCCCAGUGAUCCUCCUGCCUCAGCCUCAUCAGUGCUAGGAUGACAGGCAUGUGCCACCACACCCUGUUCCAUCAACCCUUCUUUUUUUUUUGUCUUUUUCUUUUUUAUUGGUACCAGGGAUCGAACUCACGACCACACACUUGCAAGGCAGGUGCUUAUGCCACUGAGCUAAAUCCCCAGCCCCUCAUCAACCCUUCUUGAUAACUCAGAGUAACCUGACAACCCAGUCUCCUUACUUUUCCCCUACCCUCAACAUUCCUCUGUACCUGGGUAGGAUUGCUCAUCUCAGGGCAACUGUCACAAGCAUCUCCCACCCCAUCCUCAUCCCUGUCUGUCUGCAGUGGGUUGGGUACUUUAGGGCAAUUGUCCAAUCCAUUGGGGAUACCUAGAAGACAUGUGGGAAGCACAAAAUUGUUAUUAUGUCUUUCAUAUUCUUUUCUAUGUUAGUAAAAACUCUGAGUUUUGUGUCUUCACCCAGAGCACAAUUAGUCAAAAGUCAACCUUCCACCUUGUCCCAUCCUCUCUCCCACAUCCUGCUCACCCCUACUUCCUGCCUCACGUUUCUAUCAAUAUCUGCUGUGAGUGAUGUCCCCCUGCCAGGCCAACUCCCACAAGCAUACCUCCCCACUUUCCUCAGACUCCCUGCCUCAUCCUCACCUCUGCUAAUUCACACAGGUCUCCCAGCCACCCCUACAACCCCAGGACCGCACCAUCUCCAUCCACGUCAUUGUCACAGGCAUCUCCUUCUCCAUUGCCAUCUGUGUCCUUCUGGUCAUUGUUGGGAACAUUGGGGCAGUUGUCACAGGCAUCACCAAAUGAAUCUGUAUCUGAGUUUUGCUGGUCCUUGUUGGGGAACAGUCGGCAGUUGUCCUGGGCAAAGAGUUGAGAGGGAAGGGUAAGGGGUCCCCCAAAACUUCCUUGUAAAGAUUUCCAUCCCAUGACAAUUGCCUUGUUCUAACAGUCGGCAGUUGUCCUGGGCAAAGAGUUGAGAGGGAGGGGUAAGGGGUCCCCCAAAACUUCCUUGUAAAGAUUUCCAUCCCAUGACAAUUGCCUUGUUCUAGGCCCCAGGUUUGGGCUGCCUUAGUUUGGUGUUCUAGGGCCCUUUCUACAGAAUGGCCACGGACAUUGCAGAGGCAGGAAUAUGAGCUACAGUGAGAGAAACAGACAACACAAGAGACAGGACAGUCUGGGAAUCACCUCAACAUUCUUGAUCCCAUCCCCAUCAGCAUCAUCGUCACACUGGUCCCCAACACCAUCAUUAUCAGCAUCUUCCUGCCCAGAGUUGGGUGUCAAAAGGCAGUUGUCCUAAAGUCAGGGGGAAGAAGAAGACAUAUGAGUUCUGGCCAGAGCCAGCCUGGGGCUCCCUACCACACUGGCCCCCAAGCCCUGCACCUGCUUGCAAUGUUUGUUAUUGUCCAUGCAGGGCAGCGCCUGGUCUGGGUAGCCAUCGAUGUCCGUGUCAGGCCCACAUACGUUCCCGUUCCCUGCCCAGCCCACGUUACACUGGAACAACACAAAUGGCGGAAGUUAGCACUCCUGCUUCCCAUGGAGGUCCUCAGCCCAAGCCCUAAACAUGCUCACCAACCUUCCUCUGUGCCCCAGCCUCUUCCCUUUUCCUUCUAAGCUCCAGCCUCAGCUCACCUGGCAGGACACUGCACCGUUGUGUUCAAAGAGACAGUGAGCGUGAACAUGGCAAGGGCUGUGGGCUGGGCUGUGGCAGGUCCUCACAGGGAGGCAGCCCUGUGUCUGAUUGCCCAAGAAACCCAAUCGGCAGGGCCCACAUUUGAAAGAUCCCUAAGGGUGAAAAGUGCAGUUAGGAAGGAGUGGGCACCUGCUGGGUACUCUGGACCAUCACUGCCUGCCUGUGAGGAAUAGGAUGGGCACUCACAGGCGUGCCAGGUAUAUAUCUUCUUUAGGUGCUCAGGAGCUACCCUUCAAGGCAGGUAAAUAGCCCCACUUUUCAAGUGAGGAAGUUGAGGCUCAAAAAGUCUAAAUGACUUGCUAAAGGUCAUAGCUAGUAAAAACCUGAAACCAGAAUUUGCAGCCAGGUCCAUGUGAAUACCUACUAUAUGUAGUGUCCUAGGGAAGAAGCACAGGCAGCAGCAAAUGUGAAGAGAGCGUUACAUAGUAUCACCCACCUAGACACACACAAGGUGUUCUACUCACCACAGUGUUGGUACAGAUGGAGUUUGGGUCACAGCCACCGUUGUUACCAUCAUUGCAUUCAUCGAUGUCACUGCAGACCUAAAGGGACAGACUCUGGGUGGAACCAACCCUGUGGUGCUUCUCCAGACAGAGGCACUGGUGUGGCCUUAUCUGUAAGCACUAAUAAGCUCAGAUCCAAACCCAGUACAAAGCAGGCCUCACCCCAUUAAUCACAAAGGUCCCAUGUCCAACCCAGAAGCCCUUGACCUCUACAAGCCCCAAACUGCAUGGCCACACUAACUACCCAGCCUGACCUGUUUGCUGGCCCGGGCAUAGUCGAUGCCCACACCAGACACCUGGGUGCCCUUAUACCCUCGAGGACAGGUCUCACAGUGGAAGCCAGGCAUAGUGUUGAUGCAGCUGGAGCCAGGGAAGCAGGGUUCAGCAUGAGCACACUGGGGGCCAGAUAAGAAUGCAGAGGUCAGGCCCAAGGGGAAGUCCCUAAACCAUCCCUCGUGUUCUUCCUCUGCAGUUGUCCCCACACAGCUGCACAGCUCCUGCCCCCUGCCCCAGCUUCUCCCUGGGUUGCUCCGCGCCUUUCCCAUUUCCUCCCACCAUCUCUGACUUCUCUGCCACUCCCCCAGCUUCUUCCCUGCAAAACCUCCCACGUGCCUCCCUCCAGUUUCACUUUGCUGCUCUCUGACCUCUCCUAAGCCUCAGAUUCUUUUGCUUCCAACCAACAUUUACCCCUCCCUCCUGACCUCCUCACCCCAGCUUUCUGCAUUCUGUGGGCUCUGCCCUCCCCACCUCAUUGAUGUCCGCGCAGUGGGUGCCGUUGCCCUGCAGGCCCGGGGGACAGGGUCCACAGCGGUAGCCUGGGUACUCAUACACUUCCAUGCAGUCCACACCUUGGAAGCAGGGGUUGGGGCUGCAGUGCGAACGCUGCUCAUGGAAGCCUGGGAGGUGGGCAGAGUCAGAGCCACCCAGAGGUCAUUCAAACCAUUGUCAGGGGAGGCCCUAACACUGCUCUCCGGAGCCCACCCCUGCUCUCCCACUCACCGCACACCUGACAUUCCAUGAUGGUGUUUCGGAUCAGGGACAUCUCCUUCACCUGAAGGGCAGGGGGUAGUCAGCCCUCACAUCUGCCACCCAAUCAGAGUCAGUAUCACCUGUGGCUGGCCCACCCAUACCUGGUCUCGGAUAUCAUCCCGCAGGUCCACCAGGAUCUGGUUAAAGAGGGUGAGUUGGGUGACCAGCGCCUUGGUCUGUUCCCCUGUUGGAGUAUGGAGAGGAUCACAACUGGGGCAAUAAGCCCUAGCUCUUCCAUGGGCAGGUGAUGAGCCAGCUCAUGUCACUGCCACCUACUCCGAAUCUUUUAAAAAGGCUUAGUUCCAGGAAGCUGCCAAAGCCUGAGGCCUCCUUGCCACCCUAUUCCCUUCCACCUCCUGGUGGUCUACUCACCUAGAAUGGACUGCAGCACACUGGUCACUAGAGAAGAGAAGAAAACAUGAUCAAGGGGGCACCUGCUGAAGAGGGAACGAGGGAGAGGGGGAUGGAGGCAGGACUGGAGCCUCAGAGUAUUGCAAGGUAGGGCAGAGGUGACAGGCAGCAGCUCCCCCUGCCUAUGCUGGAGACUGAACCCAGGAACUUGUGUGUAUUAGGCAAGUGCCCCACCACGGGGCUAGGAAUCCUCCAAGGAGCUGCCUCAUGGGACAUCAAAACCCAAACCCUAGUUCCCAAGUAUGAUUAUGGUGGAAGGAGUCAGGUGACAGGUCACCAAGCAGAACCAGGCCCCCCAAUGCAUUCCACUUCCUCCCUCCUGCCUUCCCAAGCAUCCAGUUCCUUUGAAAGAUCGGGGAGAAGUUGGUGUGACUUAGAUGGCAGUCUCUGAGCAUCCCUGUCAGAAGCCAAGCUGAUGGGAUAUGCUGACAGACACUGCUAGUAUGUGCCAGCUGUCAUGGGAAGUACAAAAGACCUUGAGACUAGGAUCUCAGCCAAGACCAAGCAAUUACCUUCCCUCCCCUCUAUCCCCUAAAAGUCCAGUGUUACAGUUUUCUCUUAGAUCACUAUCUUUCUGGCAACCCAGAAAGAUAGAAUGAUCUGGUAGGUGGCAUGACCUACAUGGGGCUUUUGGUUUAUGGUGGCACUGGGAUAGAAUUCAGAGCCUUUGCACAUCAUUUUUUUUUCUUUUUGGUACUGGCGAUUGAACUCACAACCUCAUGCUUGCCAGGUAAGCAUGUGCACCACUGAGCUAUAUCCCCAGUGUAUGUGUGUGUUGCCUUUGAGGGUUUCACUACACAGUCCAGGCUAGCCUUGAACUUACUUUGUAGCCGAGGCUGGUCUCAAACAUACAGCAAAUCCUCCUGCCUCGGCCUCCUGAGUGCUGGGAUUACAGGUGUGCACCACCAAGCCAAAGCCCCCUUUUAUAUUUUAAAAACAGGGUCUAGCUAAAUUGCCCAAAUUGGGCUUGAAUUUGCAAUUCUCUCCUGUAACAUCUCAGAGUGCUGAGACCAUCACAUGUGGUUUAGGGAGAUAUUUUUGACCCAUACCUCCUGUAUAGGAGACCAGAGAAGAAAGACUGGGGGCAAUGGGAUCAGAAGCCCCAGGAUUAGGUGAGCUAGAGAAAUAGGUGUUGGGGGAAGAGGGCAAAGGUUAGGAGUCAUCAAAGACCACAGGACUAUGGUCCAAGGCCAGCUAACGGGAGCCUCUGUUACCUGCACUGUGGAUGGACUCGUCCCCUUGGAAUGGACACUCACUCAAGGCUCCUACCCGGGCCAUGGACCCGCCCAGAAUAAUUUUCAUCGAUUCCACAAAGCCCUGGGGGGACAGCAGGUAAGGUGCAAGGAUCUACCAUUUACUUCCCCCCUUGCUAUGAACUAAGGGUCUUUCCUGCUCACCUGCAUCCUCAAAUAAGCCUUCUGACCAGUCCUAAUCUCCAUCCCACUGACCUCCGCUGGGGGGAUGGGGGCCAGGGCUGGAAGGCCGGUGUGCUGGUCACCCAGUUUGCAGUCCACAUAGAGCUGCAGGCUGGGGCUGGGCCGGGAUGGACCUCGGAGCCGCAAGAGAGCUGUAUGUGUGCGCCCAUCAGCCAGGCCUGCUUGCUGUAGAUUCACUGCGUGGACUUUGCCAUCCUCCCGCUGGUACCGCACCAGUACUGUCCAGGAAGGGAGUCAGUAUGUGCACUGUCCCCCAUCCCAUGUUUCCCUUGAGGAUUAGCUCAACUCUUCCAAAUACCACAUCUCUAAAGCUACCACCCCUAAUUCAAUUGCAUUUCUCAACACCAUGUACCAUGUUAGGUAUAGAAUAAAUAUUUUCAAAUUGACUUAGAGACUAGGAGUUUCUUAGUCUUCAAUAAAUCUGAUUACUUUAUACUCUCCCAA